AUUGAACGCUGGCGGCAUGCCUUACACAUGCAAGUCGAACGGUAACAGGUCUUCGGAUGCUGACGAGUGGCGAACGGGUGAGUAAUACAUCGGAACGUGCCUAGUAGUGGGGGAUAACUACUCGAAAGAGUGGCUAAUACCGCAUGAGAUCUACGGAUGAAAGCAGGGGAUAGCAAGACCUUGUGCUACUAGAGCGGCCGAUGGCUGAUUAGGUAGUUGGUGGGAUAAAAGCUUACCAAGCCGACGAUCUGUAGCUGGUCUGAGAGGACGAUCAGCCACACUGGGACUGAGACACGGCCCAGACUCCUACGGGAGGCAGCAGUGGGGAAUUUUGGACAAUGGGCGCAAGCCUGAUCCAGCAAUGCCGCGUGCAGGAUGAAGGCCUUCAGGUUGUAAACUGCUUUUGUACGGAACGAAAAGCCCUGGGUUAAUACCCUGGGGUCAUGACGGUACCGUAAGAAUAAGCACCGGCUAACUACGUGCCAGCCGCCGCAGUAA
rnacentral:rRNA from 1 species